ensembl:miRNA
CAUCCUUCUCCAGCCGUCUCCUGUCCUGUUCUGUGUGCUGAACAGCAGUGCGGACAGGAAAGACGGUUUGAGAGGGAAA